CGGGACUCGUGCAGAGGUGCUGCAUGGCUGUCGUCAGCUCGUGUCGUGAGAUGUUGGGUUAAGUCCCGCAACGAGCGCAACCCUUGCCUCCUGUUGCCAUCAGGUAAAGCUGGGCACUCUGGAGGUACUGCCGGCGAUAAGCCGGAGGAAGGUGGGGAUGACGUCAAGUCCUCAUGGCCUUUAUGCCCCGGGCUACACACGUGCUACAAUGGCUGGUACAAAGGGCUGCAAAACCGCGAGGUGGAGCUAAUCCCAAAAAACCAGUCCCAGUUCGGAUUGCAGUCUGCAACUCGACUGCAUGAAGUUGGAAUCGCUAGUAAUCGCGGAUCAGCACGCCGCGGUGAAUACGUUCCCGGGCCUUGUACACACCGCCCGUCACAUCACGAAAGCCGGCUGUACUAGAAGUCGCUGAUCUGACCCGAAAGGGAGGAAGGCGCCCACGGUAU
rnacentral:rRNA from 1 species